rnacentral:rRNA from 1 species
UACAGAGGUCCCAAGCGUUGUUCGGAUUUACUGGGCGUAAAGGGUGCGUAGGUGGCGAGGUAAGUUUGAUGUGAAAUCUCCGAGCUCAACUCGGAAAUGGCAUUGAAUACUAUCCCGCUUGAGGGUCGGAGGGGAGACUGGAAUUCUCGGUGUAGCAGUGAAAUGCGUAGAUAUCUGGAGGAACACCGGUGGCGAAGGCGGCAUCCUGGACCAACACUGACGCUGAGGAGCGAAAGCCAGGGGAGCAAACGGG